GAAAGAAAUAAAUUUAUUAUAAAUGCAUGCUGUAAAAAAGAAUGCAAUUUAAAAUUUAUUAAAGCACAUUGUCCUGAACAACACACUAAAUUAAAUAAGGUCACUAAAAUGAACAUUCCUGCUGGUACUACUGCUCCAGUAUUGGAAUCAAUAAUUAAAUCAACUACUACUACUACUACUUCUACUACUACAACUAUAACAACAACUACUCCUCUGCCGCCGACGAAGCCACCAUCAAAACAGGAAAGUCACGGAUUAUGGUACUAUAUGUUACUACCAUUACACGAUCCAUUUUAUUCUAAUUUUUACCUACCAUAAUUAAUUUGUAUUAUAAUAAUGUAAAUAUAAUAAAUUAUACUUUUUUUUUUCGUACAAAUAAUAUAAUUGUUAAUAACUUA